AGUUGGCUCCCACACGUAUGGGAACUUCCUGUUCUUGGCAAAAGAUAGAGAAGCUUUGACUCUUCCUGUGAUUCUCCUGUGCUAGGUGUGGGGUGCCUCUGAAGAGCGGGGCUCCAGCCAAGGAGUCUUUCCAUCUUCCUGGAAGAGGACGCACCACCUGGAGUGAUGUGAGCGACGUGGCUUCCUGACUCCUCUCCUUUCCCACCCUCUUUCUUUGCACCCUGUGAACUUCUCCAACUCUGGAGAAAUCUUCCCUCCAUCCUUAACGUUACAUCUCCCAUGCCGUUUCUUUCUGAUUGUACAUCACAAAAGAGAGAGGAAGACCUAAUGGUCGAAGAGCCAGACCUAUGGUUUGGGGCCAAGUUAUCACAAGUUCUUUAGAAGGAAAUCCUAGUAAUAUACGGUGCAGUGAACAAGAUAUUAAAAAUUCGUCACCCCUACAAUGCUCCCCAACGAGAUAUGCACUUCUUCUUGGGAAAGUUAUUGCUCAUCUUCCUCCGUAAAUUCAUGACCAGUGCAUACCCCAGAGACCUAGUUCAAAGCCCUUCUCUGGAAGGCAUCCCCUUAUUAGCCUUCUUUGACAUGGCAAAUGCCACAUUGGGGGUGGGGGGGGGGGGGAAUAAUUCCUUCCUCCCCCAAUACAUUGUACGAGUCCCCACACAAUGGAAUGUUGAAAUUCGUCACGAUGGGGAAGAUACAGAAUCCGAUGGAGUUCAAGUCCCAGGAAAACCUUGGAGGGGGCCUGAAA